rnacentral:tRNA from 1 species
GCCUGCAUGGCUCAGUCGGUUAAGUGUCUGACUUUGGCUCAGGUCAUGAUCUCGUACUUUGUGGGUUCAAGCCCCGCGUCGGGCU